AACGCACCUUGCGCUCCUUGGUAUUCCGAGGAGCAUGCCUGUUUGAGUGUCAUUAAUAUAUAUAUCAACCCUCUCUUUGUUGAGUGGUUUGGAUGUGGGGGUUUGCUGGCCUCUUAAAUGGUUCAGCUCCUCUGAAAUGCAUUAGCAGAACAACCCUGUUCAUUGGUGUGAUAACUAUCUACGCUAUUGAAUGUGAAGGGAAGUUCAGCUUUCUAACCGUCUUUGGACAAUUCAUCAUUAAUGUGACCUCAAAUCAGGUAGGACUACCCGCUGAACUUAA
rnacentral:misc_RNA from 1 species